GGAAACCACAGAAAGGAGAUUAGCGGACCAAGGCCUCGGCUUGGUUCCCAAGAGGGAUGUUCUCUAGACCACAGCUGAUUCCACGGACACCAUGGCAACCAGCAGACAGAGAAAGGGAAGGAACUCCCAUGGGCAAACAAGGCCUGGGGACCCUCUCACUUUGUAGCUACGCCCAGGUCCUGCACGGUGUCAUGACCCCAGAAUUAGUGUUUGACAGCUUCUCAGGAACAGCUGCUAUAUCCUACCUGCAGCUUGACGCCUGUUCAGAUGGAAGCAACUCUCUGCAGGCUGCGUCAGGACCUCUUUUCCCAGCUUUACUCCUCCGUCUGGGUUCUUGCACUCACAGGGGAUGGGAGAGGGGUGAGAAAUAGAGCGUUUUUUGAGAACAUAUUCCAACCUCUCGGAUGCACACGUUUUGGAGUCCUGUCCUCAUGUCAAUUGACAGAGAAGAGGACAAAACCUUGCCCCAAAGAAUAAAUCUCCAACGAAGCUGCUCAGAGAUCGAGGCGGGUUAAAGCAGUUCAUGAGGAUCGGGAGGGGUCCCAGGGGCCUUGAAGUCGCCCCACGUGGGCAACUGUCAGUUCUGAAUGUGAGCGCCUCUGCAAUCAACAUACUUUCCUGCCCUCGGAUGCUUUUCGUAAAUUAAACUAGACGAUUCCUCCAAAGCCGGAGCACCGGGCCAGCUCCACAGGAAGAUCCCUGUGACUCCCUGAUCCCUUUAUCCUUCAAAAUAAAACAGACGAACAAAAUAAUGGCAAAUCCACCAUACCUGGUUCCUCCCAAAUGCCCAGUUACCCUCUCCGGUUCUCCGGCUCUGCAGCCACCUUCCUAAGCUCCUGGGCAGAAUCUCUUGAAACUGGGAAGAAGCAUGAUGUCCAGGUCUGAGAUGCGGGAGGCGGGAGAGCGGGGAACAGCUUCUGGGAAGAGGAGAGAGGAAAAUGGAGUGUAAGGCAGUAAUCACAUUCUGGCUUAGCCCUUCCGUAGAAGCCACAGGCAAAGGCAAUGGUCUCUGUUUUCAGUUUCUGCCAUGAAGAAUCACAAGUCUCUGGAGAGGACACAUGUCUCUUAGGUUUACAGAACAUUCAAGAAACAAGGCUGUGAGUUUGGGUCCUAAGUCACGGUGGUCACUUGAAGACGUGGUUCUGGAAGUCGCCAUUUCGCAUUAGCCACAGUCCAGCUUUGCCACAAUCCAGAUUCAAAAGAGACGUAUUCCGGCAAUUCUCUGAGAAACAUACUGCAUAUGUUGCUGCAUUAGAAACUAAGCCAGGCCCCACAGGAGGCCCUAAAGAAAUGGGGCUCAGGCGCGUGCAGACACAAGGGGGUGGUGAGAGCUGUUAUUCGACACGUGCACUCUUCAUCUUCCAAAGGCUGACACGAUUACAGAACGCGAGGGCUGGGAGAGAUCUAAAGUCUUUACACCUAAGGAAAUUGAGGUUCAUGCUGAAGAAAUUGUUUAAAUUUCCCACUUAGCCCCAGGCGCAGACUUCGAGCGUUGAUGGCCUCAGAGAGGAAAAGCUUCUUCCACCCUCUCAGGUUUUGUAGUGGAGCCU
ensembl:lncRNA